AGCGAACGCUGGCGGCAGGCCUAAUACAUGCAAGUCGAGCGCACCUUCGGGUGAGCGGCGGACGGGUGAGUAACGCGUGGGAAUGUGCCCUUUGGUACGGAACAACUGAGGGAAACUUCAGCUAAUACCGUAUGUGCCCUUCGGGGGAAAGAUUUAUCGCCAUUGGAGCAGCCCGCGUUGGAUUAGGUAGUUGGUGAGGUAAAGGCUCACCAAGCCUACGAUCCAUAGCUGGUCNGAGAGGAUGAUCAGCCACACUGGGACUGAGACACGGCCCAGACUCCUACGGGAGGCAGCAGUAGGGAAUCUUGCGCAAUGGGCGAAAGCCUGACGCAGCCAUGCCGCGUGAAUGAUGAAGGUCUUAGGAUUGUAAAAUUCUUUCACCGGGGAAGAUAAUGACGGUACCCGGAGAAGAAGCCCCGGCUAACUUCGUGCCAG
rnacentral:rRNA from 1 species